CCAGCGCAUAACCUCGCGUCGUUACCCGGCACGAGGGGUGUUGCGUUUCGGAGGGUCCAGCACGCCGUGCCAUACCGUCUAAGUCAAGCUUGAAAGUGGCCACUACCCAUGGAGGGUGAGAGGCCCGUUUGGCGGCGCCCGUGAGGGUAUCGAUGGCACGGUCGGAAAGGGCCUCUCUGUAGAGUCGGGUUGCUUGAUAGUGCAGCCCAAAGUAGGUGGUAAACUCCAUCUAAGGCUAAAUAUGACCACGAGACCGAUAGCGAACAAGUACCGUGAGGGAAAGUUGAAAAGAACUUUGAAGAGAGAGUUCAAGAGUACGUGAAACCGUUAAGAGCCAAACGGAUGGAACCUCGAAGUCCGAACUGAGGGGAUUCAGCCAGUCGGACGACAGCUGGGUGCGAGUCUUCCUUCGUUGAGUCGGUGCGACCCGAGGAAACUCGGGCGCGCUCGCACCCACGCUGGCGCCGGCUGGCGCAUUUCGCCUCGUAGUAGGGCGCCGCGACCCGUUGAUGAUGGGAAUGUCUUAUAAGGCCCCAGUGGAUUGGUACCCUACCUCCUUCAACAACUGCAACCUCAUGCGGCUGCUUCGUAGCGAGGUAGGAGAAACCGCUGUUGGUGACCCGAGCUUCCCUGCAACGGUCGUAGACACGAGCUACUACUACUACUACUACUACUACUGGUGGUGGUGGUCGUCGUCGUCGUCUCGCGGCGUGCAAAUAGAUCGGUGAUCCAUCCGACCCGUCUUGAAACACGGACCAAGGAGUCUAACAUGUGUGCGAGUCAGUGGGUGCACUAAACCCAAAGGCGGAAUGAAAGUGAAAAAAAAAUAUCCGAGUCCGGCGCUCCUCGCCAGCGUCGUCUUUCGAUGAUGAUGCGGGCGCCGGUAGCAUCGGAGGGCCGAUCUAUCUAUGCUGCGUUCUUACCACCACCACCACCAGCAAUGCCAGGUGAGCCAUUUUCCCUGACUCUCUGCUGGUGGCUGUGGAAGAGCGCCGCCGCGACUAGUAGGCGCAGGCCCGGGACUUGCCAAAGACGCCGCAGCAGCAGCGGGGACAAGCAGCAGCAGAACACUGCCUUGAUCCGUGAGCGCGUGCAGUCGGCAAGUACCACGAGCAGACAUGUUAGUACCCGAAAGAUGGUGAACUAUGCCUGGCCAGGAUGAAGCCAGAGGAAACUCUGGUGGAGGUCCGUAGCGAUUCUGACGUGCAAAUCGAUCGUCCGAGCUGGGUAUAGGGGCGAAAGACUAAUCGAAUCAUCUAGUAGCUGGUUCCCUCUGAAGUUUCCCUCAGGAUAGCUGGAACUCGAAGGAUGAAUUUCGUCCGGUAAAGCGAAUGAUUAGAGGUGUUGGGGACGAAACGUCCUCAACCUAUUCUCAAACUUUAAAUGGACGAGAUGCCGAGCUUUCUUGAACACUGGUUUGGUUGGUGGAUGAAGCUCUGGCGAUUAAUCUGAGUAUCUAGUGGGCCAUUUUUUGGUAAGCAGAACUGGCGCUGUGGGAUGAACCAAACGUCGGGUUAAGGGGCCUAGAGGAAUGCUCAUUCAGAUCCCAUCGAAAGGCGUUGGUUGCUCUAGACAGCAGGACGGUGGCCAUGGAAGUCGGAAUCCGCUAAGGAGUGUGUAACAACUCACCUGCCGAAGCAACUAGCCCUUAAAAUGGUAUGGCGCUGAAGCAUUCUCCCGAUACUCGACCGCCGGGGCAUUAGCGGCCACAUCAUCGUCGUCGUCGUCGUCGACUUUGAGGAGGAGGCGGCGGCGGCGGCGAGGAGGUCUCGAUGAAGCCCCGGUGAGUAAGAGGGUCGCAGUGGUGAGCGCUGAAGGGAUCCGGCGUGAGCCGGCCUGGAGCCACCACUGGUGCAGAUCUUGGUGGUAGUAGCAAAUACUCGAGAGAGACUCCCUUGAAGACCGAUGUGGAGAAGGGUUCCAUGUGAACAUCAGUUGGACAUGGGUUAGUCGCUCCUAAGCCCAAGGCUAAGGCCUGAUCCCACGCUAGCGGCAACGCUACGCCAACGUAAGAAGCAUGAGCACGAGGAGAAAAAAGCGGAAGGAGAUGACGAAGCAGCUUUAGCAAUGGCUGCUCCUGCUGCUUUGCUCUUCUUUUCUCUCUCGUGUGCUUCUCGUUGCCCGGGAUUAGUGGGGAAAGGGAAUACGGUACUUAUUCCGUAACCUGGACUCGGAUAAAAAAAAAAACAACCAGGCAGGCAGACAGACGGGCUCCUCGCGCCCAGCACGCAAGCAAGCAAGCUCCCGAAAGGGAAUUUGGCUACGGCUGCUGCUGGUGUCGCUUGCUGUUGCUGCUGAUGCUUUUGCUCUGUGUUUGAGGACCCCGGUGACGGGAACCAGCUCGCGCCCAUCGGCGGUGGUCCGGGAAAGAGUUUUCUUUUCUGUUUAAGGCGCCGUGACCCUAGAAACCAUCCGCAGGGAGAAAGGGGAUUGGUAACACGGUUAGCCGUAGAGCGCUGCGGUUCUUGCAGCGUCCCGCGUGCCACUGUCGGUCCGUGAAACCGCGAGGGAGGUAACUCUGGCUAGAUUUAUUUAUUUAUUUAUUUGUCGGGUCUCCGUGCCCGUCAAAUGUAAAAAAAAUAAUACAGCCUAAUUUCGAUCCAGUGCGUACCCAUAUCCGCAGCAGGUCUCCGAGGUAAGC
rnacentral:rRNA from 1 species